CGGCGCGUGGCCUCGUCGAGCAGCGGCGACGGCGCUUCUUCGAUGACCUUCUGGUUGCGGCGCUGGAUCGAGCAUUCGCGCUCGCCGAGAUAGAUCACGUUGCCAUGCUUGUCGCCCAGCACCUGAAUUUCGAUGUGGCGCGGAUCGACAAUGAACUUUUCGACGAAAACGCGGUCGUCGCCGAACGACGCUUUCGCCUCGGCCUUGGCGAGGUUGAAGCCUUCCUCGACUUCGGAUUUCGAAUGGGCGAUGCGCAUGCCCUUGCCGCCGCCGCCGGCCGACGCCUUGAUCAUGACCGGAUAACCGAUCUCGUCGGCGAUCUUGGCGGCAUGCGCCGCGUCCUCGAUCACACCGAGAUAGCCCGGCACGGUGGACACCUUGGCCUUGGCUGCGGCCUUCUUCGAUUCAAUCUUGUCGCCCAUCGCGGCGAUCGCGCCCGGAUUAGGACCGAUAAAAACGCCCCCCGCUGCCGCCAGCGCCCGCGGGAAAGCCUCACGUUCGGACAGGAACCCAUAGCCAGGGUGCACCGCCUCUGCUCCGGUCUGGCGG
rnacentral:misc_RNA from 1 species